UUUUAAGAUUUAAAGAUUUCAACUUACAUACUUGGCUGAUUUGAGACCCUAAUUUGCAGACUUGAAGAAUUUGAAGAUUUGAAAU
rnacentral:pre_miRNA from 1 species